CCUUCAAAAAGAAAAAUCUUAACUAGCAACAGAGACACACACACACACACACACACACACACACACGCACGCACAAUUGAUCCUUUUUAUCUGGACAAGCCUGACUAAUUAUCUAUGUACCUAUCUAUCUAUGGACCAAUGUGUAGCUUAAAAUAUUGGUACCCAUUCUGCCUUGAUCCGAGGGUAAAGAGCUCUCAGAGUUCUCAACAAAACAACUUGAAAGUAGCAUUUCACUUGUCAGAGAGCGAGGAUAACUGUACCUGAGGUAAACACACAUCCAGUUCCCUUUGAGGUGCAGCUGAAUAAGUGUAGCAACCAAACUAUCUCCAAAGUAACAACUUUACACGACCCAGCAAGUUCACAGCAAAGUCAUACAAGUCUAGGGAAAUCACAGUGUUCCUUGAGAAGUGUCCCAGCCUGGGUCUUUGAAAGAUGGACACACUUGUCAUCUGCUAGAAGAAACCUUGGAGAAAAACAGGUCUAGGGGUGACAGCUGAGGCCAGCCCAUAUGAGCCAAUUAAUUUUGGUCUAAUAGCUGUACCUGUCUGAACCAGGUUAAUAGUAUCUAUUGCAUAAAGCAGAUCUGGGCAUUAAAUGAGGAAAUUUAUGUCAACAGUGCUCGGCCAUUGCCUGGCACAAAGAAAACGGUCAAGAAAUACGAUUUCUCUUAAUGGCAGUAGAAGCUGCUGUUUCUAAAGCAUUUCCUAUGUUGUCAAAAUUAUAUAUUUUUCUUCUUUACGUCUUGCAAAGGAAGCAUUAUCAUCUUGGCUUUUUGUUUUGUGUGUGUGUGUGUGUGUGUGUGUGUGUGUGUGUGUACAGAUGAGGAAACUCAAUCUCAGAGAAGUUAAAUAAUGGCCCGAGGCGCAGCUGGAAAGUGGUGGGACUAGAAUUUAAGGCAGGCCGUGUGGGCUUCCUCAGUCGGCCUGCUCACCAGCCUGCUUUCAUCUUUCAACACUCACUGCCCAAUCUGACCUUACAUAGUGGGCUCUAAAAAAUAAAGUCAACCCAGAAGCCAGAUAUUUAUUUGUUAGUAAGGGAUGAGGGGAGAAUAUCGGGGGAAAAUACUUGAGGAUGUGUCCUGGCUUUACCUAUUCUCCUCUGGAUGGGCAAAGUUAUGGACUUAUUUCUUCAGACUUUUGGCAGUUGUUUGUUCCCACCAAGGAGGGCAGUGUCACUACAUCAGUGCCACCAACUCAGUGGAGGGAGACAGGUGGUGAUGCUGAACAGUUUCAGUGACAACAUAAAUCACAGCUGUUCACCCCAUCAGUAUCAAAAUGGGGAUAGGCUAGAGAGCUAAUCGGGUUACAGGGUUGUUCAAAGAAAGAUAUUUGGAGGCAAAUAGUUUCUGUGGAGACUAUCUUAUCCUCCAUGACCUUGCUGGUGUAUUCCGGUGUCCCUCCUAGCAGAGGGGUGUGGAGUUUGGGACCAUAGAUUUUGUAACAUUUAAUUCAACUCUGAAGCAUGAAUUCGCAUUUAAAAUAAAAGCAGUUUGGGGCUAGGUGUGGUGGCUCAUGCCUGUAAUCCCAGCACUUUAGGAGGCUGAGGAGGGCAAAUCACUUGAGGUCAGGAGUUUGAGGCCAGCCUGGCCAACAUGGUGAAACCCCAUGUCUACUAAAAAUACAAAAAUUAGCUGGGAGUGAUGAGUCACACUUGUAAUCCCAGCUACUUGGGAGGCUGAGGCAGGAGAAUCGCUUGUACCUGGGAGGCAGAGGUUGCAGUGAGCUGAGAUUGCACCACUGCACUGCAGCCUGAGUGAUAGAGUGAGACUCCAUCUCAAAAAUAAAUAAACGAAAUUAAAUCACAUUAAAGCAGUUUGGACUAUAAGGUCUUAAAAGUUUUGUGCCUCAAAACUUUGGUGAUGCCGUCUUUCCCAGUGGCGCUUGUCUUGUCCUUUUGGCUGACCUAUUUUCUUUUCUCCUUUUACUGUGGCCACUCUCUAAGAUUCCUUGUUUCUAGGGUCCUUCAUUUCUCAUAGCUUUGGGGAAUUCAAGCCCUUGAAGUGUCACCUCAGGAUUGGGUUGCCCUGAAUGCCUCCCAACCCAUCCUCCUCUCCUCAGUCCUUUCCUAAACUCAUCUGCCUUGAAUGCAACAACCAGAAUUUUCUUACUUUCAACCUUUUACUCAAUAGUUUCCAAUUAUUUUCUCCUUCUCAAGCUUAAGCCUUCUCAAAUUGGAUCUGACAUCCACUUUUAUUCAAAUAAUGUUUUUAUCUUAUGAAAAAAAGAGAUCCAUUUAGAAUAAUAAUUGGGGCAACCUCAGUCAACUGAACUUGGAAUGAGUAUAACCUUCAGGGAUAGCAGCCAAUCAUGAAACAUUGCAUGGAUGGGGUAGCACAGAAAAGCAAAAGUCAACUUGAAAGGAUUGCAGUAAAGGCAAGAGGGGAAUUUACUUGAUAAUAUAGCAAACUCAAUGUUGAAGUGACUAUAACAUCAGGAGUUAUUAUUGGAAAGAAGAUAAUAGGUAGCACUGAAAAUGUCAUGGGCCCUAUGUUUCUUCCUAACCAAUGAUUCGUUUUUCACUGGACUUACAACAGGAAGUAAUUCAUCCUGUUAUAAAGAAUGUAACAUUUCCUUCCAUUCACAUAGCAGGCUGGAGUUUGGUGAUUUUACUGGAAAUGAUGUUUUUUUUCCUUGGAGAGAAUUCUGUUUCUAUGAAGCACAUACAGCUGCUGAAACCAAUCUGAAACAGGUUAGAGAGGAAGAGAGGCUCAGCGGCAUACAGGAUAGCAUGAGUUUAACUGGGAACAUGUCAGAAGCAGCCAGCAACUUUUUUUUUUAAACAGGGAAUAUUGAGAGUAAGCAAAGCCUGCUUUUACAGAAUUCAACUGAUGCAUUCCCAGUUAAAGAUAUUGAGAUGGUAUGUUAGCAAAGUCUAUGAACUUCUUCUGUUAAGUAACUAGAACAGAGAGGAGAGAUUUGGACAUGUCAGCCAGAAAAUGUGGCUCCUAUGGAAGAGAGUGAAGGUAAGGUCAGAAGACUAUUCCCAGUCCCACUGUGUGUGUUCUUACCUCUGCCUUAGUGAUGAUGGAAUUACAUAGCUAUUGUGAGUCACUGUGUGCCUGUCCUUUAUCACUCAUUGUACUGAGGAUAAAAUCAUAAAUUGUUCACAGUUUUCAUCAUAGUCAUUGUCAGUAAAAUUCUUUUGUCAUCUUCAUUAUGCCCAAAGUUCACCCUUCUCCCUUGCUGCCGUUGAUUAGAGGUAUUUGGAAAAGAUGAGCCCUAGUUGAUUUUCAGGUGCCAAGGUAAGUGGAAAGUGCGUCUUCAAAAUGCUCAUUUUUCCCAACUUCCUUCCAUCAGGAGGUGCUGCAUCUCACAGAAACAAAUUGCAUUUUCCAUGUGGACUCUCGUUGGAUAUUAGCUGCCAUCUGCUUUGUGCCCUCUCCAGAAACUACUACAGGUCCCUGUCAUGGGAUGAACUGUGUACCUUCAAAAUUCAUGUGCUGAAGUCGUAAUCCCUAAUCCCUCAGAAUGUGGCUAUAUUUGGAGAGAUAGUCUUUAAAGAAGUCAUUAAGGUAAAUGAGGUCAUUUGGGUGAACCCAAAUCCAAUCUAUGACUGGUAUCCUUAUAAGAAGAGAUUAGGAUACAGACACACAGAGAAGGAAGAACAUAUGAAAACAUAGGGAGAAGGUGGCAAUCUACAAACAAAGGAGAGAGACCUGAAAAGAAAUAAACUCUGCUGAUACCUUGAUUCUGGAUUUCUAGCCUGCAGAACUGUGAAGAAAUACAUUUCUGCUGUGUAAGCCACUCAGUCUGUGGUACUUGGUUAUAACAGCCCCGUAUUAUACUAAUACGGUAUCCUUUCUGCCGCCUGCAUUGCUGACUCCUGAAUGUGGGGACAUAGGCAAUUGUGUUUGUUAGACACACAGAAAGGACAGAUGUGAUCUACAUCAAGCCUAGACUCCUGCUCCUUGUUUUCUAGGUUCUCUCCAAUCUUCCUCUCCUCUUCUGCAUUCCAAGGCUUAUCUCUCUGGCAUGAACUUUACAGGACCAUCAGACAAGGUUCCUUCCUGUCUUGCUCACUGCACCUCCCGUAUACAUUGCUAAGUUCCACUCCUCCAGUGUCCUGAUGUGGUCCCUUCUCCACCCAGCCCCCAAAGCCCAGAUUUCAAUUGCUCCUCCACUGUUCUCACCUUCUGCUAGACAGGUACCCUGCUUUGUAAUUGGUAUGACACCAUUUCAGGCUUGAAUUGUCUUUCUUCACAGCCUUUCCAAUUUUUUUUAAAAGGUAUAUUUAGGCUUACACAGGUACAUAAAAUGAAGCAAGAUAACAUACAUUUGGCAAUGGUGAAAAAGGAAAACAAGGUCAGAGAUAAAUUAAAGGGAGCCAGGAAUGAAGCAAACAUCGGAGAGCACGCUCAUCUUGCUACAGAUUUGGCUCACUUUUCAAGAAACCAACUUAAAAAUGGAAACUUUACAGUUACACAAUUCACACUGUAUAUAAAAUGGAAACAAACUGAUUGCUCAGAAGUAAAACUGUUCCUGAUAUUAUCGAAAGAAGUAUAUUUCUCCUGAGAGUUCUAAAACUGCUUUAUGUAAGAAUGGCAUUUUCAGCAUCUUCACAGUGGCCAAGUGAUGAGGUUUUUUGAAUGCUGUCACAGCAUUAUACCAAAGUUUAAUUCAGUUAGGCUACAGUAAGUCCUCAGUUAAUCCAAGGCCUUAGAUUUUCAAGGUCUUAGAGGAAGAAAGGGAUUACGUAUGCUGCAGGCAGUUCAUCAUAUUGCUUCUUUUAAAUGAGCAUCGAUCAGUACUGGAUAACAAUGAGCAAUGAAUUUAGCAAUGGCAAAAGCCUACAAAUAGAAUUCUGGCUUGCCAAGUAAGUUUUGAUUGCUUGUGUUAAAGGCGACAAAAGCCAGGAAUAGGCCAGCCAUGGUGGCUCAUGCAUGUAAUCCCAGCACUUUGGGAGGCCGAGGCGGGUGGAUCCCCUGAGGUCAGGAGUUCAAGACCAGCCUGACCAACAUGGCAAAACCCUGUCUCUACUAAUAAUACAAAAAUUAGCUAGGCAUGGUGGUUCAUGCCUGUAAUCCCAGCUACUUGGGAGGCUGAAGCAGGAGAACCACUUGAACCUGGGGGGUGGAGGUUGUGGUGAGCUGAGAUCAUACCAUUGCACUCCAGCCUGGGCGAAAGAGUGAAACUCUGUCUCAAAAGAAAAAAAAAAAAAAGAACCAGGAAUAAAGAUACGAUUCCAUUUGACAGUGCUCUAAAGCCAAAGACCACCAGGGAUGCACCUGAAGUCAAACUGAGUUGGGUUUUUCUUGGCCUGUUGCACUGAGGGAGGCUGCAUGUCAAGGGGACACAUAGGUGGAAGGCACAGAGAGAAGGUGUGAGAGGUUUACAUGAUGGGAUCUGAGGUGGUGGUAGAUGAUUUUGGAGAGAGUUCAAGGAAACAUGAGUUUGCUCUGGAUACGGUGCUGUCAGGAAUUGGGCCAAUUCUGACUGGGUAUCUGAAUUUUUAUCAAGAAGGCAGGAAGAAUAAAGUGUGAUUAAAGCUGUGAUUAUUAAGAAGCUAUAGUCUCUCUCAUAAGCUGAGAGAAAUAUUUUGGUAGUUUUCACAGUGGCCUUAUUUUUGUCUGUGCUCAGACAUGACUAUGGGGUGAAUGUAUUUCUGUCUCACUUUAUCUCAGUGAUAGAACGGCCUUGUCUAGCAUUGUUUUCCAUAGUAGCAAUACCAAGACCUAACUGCUAGUGCCAGCCAGCUCCCAACUAUCAGGGGCUGUGUUUCUUUCUCCCACUCUAUAGACUGAGGAGCCUAAUGAGUAAGUAUGGAUGAAACGAAGGAAAUGCCUUCAGAGAGACAAGAUUUUACCCUAAAACUUUGGUUUGAAUCGGUGUAAACAUACAGGCAAAUAAGGAAAUUGAGACCUCUCUUAUUUCUUCUAAUAAAUAAUUUAAUCAUCUAAGUCUUAGGGCAAACCCCUCCCCCAAGCAAUAUCAAGCUUAAACUUUGAUUUUGCUCUUGGCAUAUAGAUCCUGGAGCCUUGGAUCAUCUGGCUUAGCUGCAGGGCAUGUGCUAUGUAUGAACUUCCCUUUAGCGUUUACAGAUUAUAGCUGUGACUUCUUCGUGUUACUUAUUAAAAAUGUAACUCCUUUUUUGUUUACAAAAGCCGAACUUUAUAUAAACUAUUAACUCAAAAAAUUAUUACUAAAAUAUUACAUUAUAGAAAGUAUGAAACAGGGAAUAAAACCUGUAAUUCCAUUAGCAACACUAACCCAACUAUAGUUAUCUUGCUUAUUCCUCUAACGACUCUAACCCAACUACUGUAAUCUUUGUUUAUUCUAUCUUUUUCAUGAACAUUUAAAAAUAGUUUUAAUUAUACUGCAUAACAUUCUAUAAUUUGCUAUUUUACUUUAUAAUGUGUUGUUUUUCCUUACAUCUGUGCUUUUCCAUGUAACUAUGGAAUCAUUUUAAUGACUGUUUAUAUUGGCUGCAUAAAAUUUCACAUAAAUUUACCAUUUUCUUACUUAUAUUUCUGAUAGAAAUAUGUAAUUAUUUUCUUUUAUUUCUGUUUUACUAGCAUUAGAAUGAAGAUUUUCCAAGUUUAUAGAAUUAUCUUUUUCUUUAAAAAAGAUAAUUUCUGGGUCUUUUCAACCCAGAACUUUUCAAGGUUUUCUCUUCAUGCUUGAAGUUUGGGAGUUUUGCCAAAAUAUGGAUAAAUGUCUCCCUUCUUUCUAUAAUAGUGCCUGAAGUUUAUUAGGCAUUUUCAAUUUAAAAACUCAGUUUUUUUUUUUAAGGGAAGGUUUUUUUUAACUUCUGCUUCUUCUCCAUCUCUUCACUUUUUUCUUUUCUUUUUCUUCUCGUGCUGGUUUCCUGGGUCUGCUUAUGUUUUUCCUCAAGAUUACUAGACCUUUGUAUUUUUUUCCUUGAGGAUAUACUUAUUUUAUCCUUUUGAUCUUCCAGGCCAUUGAAUUUGAAUAUCAUCAGUGAUCAUCGUUUCCUUAAAUUCAUCUAGUGACUUAAAAAAAAAUGAAUGCAUGUUUUCUAAGAAGUCUUUUGUUAUGUGCUGAAUUUGAAUCCCUUUAAAUACUCUUUUUAUCAUUUACUUUUUCAUUUUUUUUUUUUUUUUUUUAGUACAUUGCCCUCUGCCUGUUCCAGUCAGUUUUAUUUCAUGAGGGACCAGCUAAUCCUUGUUUAUUUUUCCUGUCUCUGAUUGUUGAGCCCCCUUAGCAUCUGGUUAUUUUUCUUUGCUGAUCAUUGGAGUUCAGUGGCUAGGAUACCUUAACUGGGAUUGAGGGUGGGGUGAGAUUGUCUGAGAAACAGAAGGUGUGGUGAUCUGACCCUGAGAACUGGCUGGGCUGCAGUGAGAAGUCAUCAACUCCCUAUCAUGGCAUGAGGAAGGGUGGAGGAGGAGGGAGGUUCUCCGUGGCUUUCCCAGCCUCAGGGGGAGCUCUCCGUCCACCCUCACAGCUCCUCAUGAGCUUCUCUGGGCCUGGCGAGACUGGCCAAUGUCAACUUUGUCAACUUUCCCUACAGAGGUUCAGCGAUCUCAGGAGAUCAAGCUAUUCCCAGGAGCUGGCUGCUUCAGAUCCUUGCUUUGGAACUACCUUCUGCUGCCUCUGCCUCCCAGGCUCCCACUUGGCCCAGAGGGUGGACACACCACACUGGUGUGCAAUGUGUGUAACGUGUGUGUGCAGUUUUGCCAAUUCACUGCCUGAGUGGAUGCUAGGCUGAGGGGAGUGAGAGAAAGCUGAGGAGGAGCUGUGUGUCUAGGAAAGGCAGGAGACACCAAUGCACUAUCUUUCUAGAUUCUCCUGCUGCCAUGCUUUCUAGAAUUAUUUUAAAUAUUUCAGCUCAGUUAUUCUUUCCUAUAACUUUAGAAGAAAUCAUUCUGUGAAUUUUUCUUGGGGUGGGGGAAGGAGGUAAAUUAGCAUCUUUCAAAUAUUUACUCAUGGAAGAUAUGGCUCUAUAUUAAUUCAAGCCUUCUUUAUUAUAAGUUUCAUUAUUUUUUAUGUAUAAAGUCACACACUUUUCUCAUUAAGGUUUUUUCAGAUACUUGGUAUGAAUCGUAUUUCUUUUAUUUUUCUCAUUAUAUUUUCUUUUUAAGUAUGUUCAUAUUAAUUUCAAGAUGCAGGCCGGGUGUGGUGGCUCACACCUGUAAUCCUAGCACUUUGGGAGGCCGAGGUGGGCAGAUCACUUGGGGUCAGCAGUUAGAGACCAGCGUGAACAACAUGGUGAAAACCCAUCUCCACUAAAAUUACAAAAAUUAGCCAUGCCUGGCAGUGUGCACCUGUAAUCCCAGCUACUUGGAAGGCUGAAGGGAGAAUCGCUUGAACCCAGGAAGCAGAGGUUGCAGUGAGCCAAGAUCGCGCCACUGCACUCCUGGGAGACAAAGGGAGACUCUGUCUCAAAAAAAAAAAAAAAAAAAAAAUAUAUAUAUAUAUGUAUAUGUGUGUAUAUAUAUGUGCGUAUAUAUGUAUAUAUACGCACAUAUAUGUAUACACGCACACACACACACACACACACACACACAAAAGGGUAGAAAGUAAAACCUAAGUCUUCUUCCUGCUCUUGUUUUUAAAUGCCAGUGCCCUUCCCCAGAGGAAACUAUAGCUGUUAGUUGCUAUAAAUUCCUUUCGACCGGGGGUGGACAAACUUUUUCUGUAAAGCCCCAGGUAAUAAAUGUUUUACCCUUAGUGGGUCAUGAAGUUUUCAUCACAACUAUUCAAUUCUACCAUUAUUUUGUGGAUAGUAUGAAGAGUGUGUCGGCCGGACAUGGUGGCUGGCGCCUGUACCAACAUGGUGAAACCCUGUCUCUACUAAGAAUAUAAAAAUUAGCAGGGCAGAGUGGCACUUGCCACUAAAAAAAAAAAAAAAAGAGUGUGUCUGUGUUCCAGGAAAGUUUCAUGGACAUUGACAUUUGAAUUUCAUAUAUUUCAUGCCAUUAUAUUCAUCUUUUGAAUUUAUUCUUCUAUUUAUUUUUUUCAACCAUUAAAAAUAUUUUAAAAAUAAAAAAACAGGUAGUGGGCUGGUGUUGGCCUUUGGGCCAGUUUGCUGACUGCUGUUCUACAGGCAUUCCCUGCAUAUUCAAGCACAUGUAGAUAUACUAUAUUUUUCUUCUGUUUCUUUGUUAAUUUGUCUGCAAACAGGCUCCAUGUCAUAUGUAUUGUCCUGCACUGAGCUUUUUCUAUUAAGGUUUCUUGGUGAUCAUUCCACGUGGGUUCAUAGAAUUACUUCUUUUGUUUUAUUGGUCAUGUGAUGUUCAGGCAUGUGUCAUGAUACAUUGAGGAGAAUUAAGGCUGUUUCUUUUUUGUUGUUGUUUUCUCUUUUUUAAAAAAAUCUCUUUCUUUUUUGAGACAGAGUUUUCCACUGUUGCCCAGGUUGGAGUGCAGUUGUGCAGUCUCAGUUCACUGCAGCCUCCACAUCCAGGGCUCAAGCGAUCCUUACACCUUAGCCUCUCAAGUAGCUGGAACCACAGGUGCAUGCCACCACACCCAGCUAAUUUUUUUUUUUUUGUUUUAGACCGAGCCUUGCUCUGUCACCAAGCUGGAGUGCAGUGGCGCGAUCUCAGCUCACUGCAACCUCUGGCUCCCGGGUUCAAGUGAUUCCCCUGCCUCGGCCUCCCUAGUAGCUGGGACUACAGGCACAUGCCACCACACCUGGGUAAUUUUUUCAUAUUUUAGUAGAGAAAAGGUUUUGCCAUGUUGGCCAGGCUGGUCUCCAUCUCCUGGCCUCAAGUGAUCUGCCUGCAUCAGCCUCCCAAAGUGCUGGGAUUACAGGUGUGAGCCACCAUGCGGCUGGCCUAAGAUUGUUUCUGAUGUCUACCUUCUGUAAGUAAUGCUGCAACAUAUAUCCUUGUACAUUUGCAUUUGUGCACCUCUGUGAUUCUGUUUGUAGAAUAAAUUCAAAAAAGUGUAAUCAGAACUAACAAUUCAGCACAAAUAUAAGUAAAGUUUCUAACCAGAGACUUGGCUACUUCUGUUACAGUUUUAAUGUCCAGAUCACAGCAGAACUCUGGGUGAUUUUGAAUCUUUUAAGCAAUCACCUAUUAAUAGGGAUCCUAGAGGAUGUGGACAAAAUUUGUAGGUACAGGCAUGUCUUUACUACCAGUGUGCAGAAUGGAGAGGAAAAGAGUAGACAAUGGACCCAUCCCUUGUAGGACUCUGAAGGCUCCAAAUGACCCAUCAGGGGUACAGAGUUUCUCUUACUACCCACAGGGGUUGAUUGCACUGCACAGAUCUGGAGAGGACAGAGUGAUGGGGUUUGAGGUAGGAUACAAGUAUACAGUUUGAAUUUUUGUGAUUCACCAAGAUUACGUCCAAAAAGAUGAUGAACUAUUUUUAUAAAUGAAAAUGUAUUUUAAUGGCAUAGAGGUACUGUCUAAAUGAAUCUUAUGAAUCAUUUCAUAGAGCAAAUAGUUCUCUUGAAGCAUUAAAUGUUUUACAAUAAGUCAUAUUUUGAGUUGGCAUGUGACAAUUUCUGUUUGCAUGUAUAAAAAGCUUUUGUACCCAGGAUAACAGGUGCCCCAAAAAGCACAAACUGAAGAUAAUCCAAAAUCAGGUGUAUCCAGGUCCAGCAAAUGACUUAGUCACUCCAGGCUUGUUUCUUUACCUCAAAAAUGAGAGGGUUAGGAUAUUUGCUCUCUAAGCCCCCUUGCAGCUUUGGGACUAUGCACAAUGUGGACAGUCAAGAAAUGCUCAGUAGACUGAAGUCCAUGACAGCAGAGGCAGUAUCUACUUUUUCUUGUUAUGGUGUCACCUGCUACUUAGAAUAGAGUAUGGCAGGUUGGGCAUGGUAGCUCAUGCCUAUAAUCCCAGCACUAUGGGAGGUUGAGAUGGGAGGAUCACAUUAGCCUAGGAGCUCAAGACCAGCCUGGGCAAUAUAGUGAGACUCCCAUCUCUAAAAAAACGUUUUUUAAAAAAAGCCAGGCAUUAUGGCAUGCACCUAUAGUCCCAGCUACCCAGGAGGCUGAGUUGGCUGGAUAGCUUGAGCCCAGGAGUUUGGGGCUGCAGUGAGCCAUGAUCUCACCACUGCACUCCAGCCUGAGCAACAGCGUGAGACCCCAUCUCAAAAACAAAUAGUGUAUGGCACAUAGAAAGCACAGGAAACAUUGGUUAAAUAGAUGAAAAAAUGACCAGAUUGCAGAAACUUUCCUUUUUGCAUUUGCUGUAGACUCUUGUCUGAUUCAAAAGUCAUUCCUCUUUCCUCCUUUGUAUCAGAACUCUGUUACUGUCUAAAUUAUGUCUACCCUCCUCCACCUUGCCAUAAGUUUCAGAGGACAUGGUCUUCAGACCUAGUGCUAAAAGGUGGCACUAACCAAUUACAGUGGCUUGAUUUCUCUUGCUUAUGAUUGUUGUGAGCAUGGUCACAUGAUUUAAUUCUGGCCAAUGAGGAACUCUGGCCAAUUAGGGAAAAAGUGCUACUGGGGCUCUAGAAAAGUUUCCUCACUGAUAAGAUAGGACCCCUUGAAGAAAGCAGCCUUCCCAUUGCUUGAAAGAAAGCACGUCUACUUCACUCCUGAAGCUAUUCAGCCAUCUUGCAAUCAUUAGAGAGUCAGUUUGAGGAAAGCUAAGACCAGAGUGAUGGGCCAGAAAUAUGGAAAGGAUCUGAGUCCAUGGUGACAUGGUGACAUGUAGAAGUUCUGAGAUAACAAAACCGAAGCAGCUUGUCUUCUAAAAUUUUUUGUUAAGUGAAAUGGUAAAUUCUUUAUGGUUUAGAUAAGUUUAUUGUUUUGUUACUUGUAGCCAAAAUAAUCCUAAUAAUAUAUUACCUUUAUAGGAUUUAUGCAGAUGGCUGUUGAAAAUUAAAGAGCCCUCAUUGGCUGUAACAUGGAGCUUCAUGGGUAGAAAAUAAGGAGGCAUUUUUCUUGUCCUUUCUCCUGCUAUGGAAAAUUUUAAGAAGCAAAAACUUUACUAAAAUGGGGAAGAGUCUAGUAUUUUUUUUUUAAGAAAAGGCAUUCCCAUUGCAAAUUUUAUAAACCGUGAAGAAAUAUUACAGAUCCAGGCUGUUUUAAAAAUGAUUUAUGAGGAUAGUUGUAGUAGAAUAUUUCCACUUUGAAACAAAGUAACACUGUAUUUGGUUAAGAAGUUUCUUUACUUUUAUUUUUCUUAUGGUUGCAGACAAAAGGAAUCUAUUCCAAUUUUUUUUUUGUGAAAUCCACGGCAAGAACAAGAUAUUGACAUCAAUAACCAAAUCAAUAAAAUACAGGCAAAGCACUCACAUCUGUGUCAGUAUCUUCAAAAUAGAGAAAUGUCAAUUCAGUAUUUACUCAGUGUCCCACCCACAGCAGGAAGCUGGGUGCUGAGGCAAGCUUGCUAGAAGUUCAGGCCUGUACAUGAUUAGCCUAUAGUAUUAUGGGAGCAAAUUAUAGGAUUAGCCAAGGAUAAACUAUUAUUAGACUUGUCAAUAUUUGUUAAUUGCUGGAUAAUACUGUGGUGAGACAGAGAUGAGAUGUAUGAAACAGUAUCUCUCUCUAUUUCAAUCCCAAACACACAUAAACACACACACAUUUUGGACUUUGGCAGUGGAUCAUGGUAAGCACUCAUCUAAAAGACACUGCAAACUUAAUUCUUAGUUACAUGGAAUUUUCCCAAGAUUCUGGUGACAGGUGUCCAAAACUCUGCUCAGAUGCUUUUAUUUUAAAGCAAUCUUUGCUUAUGGAAGGCACCAUAGAACUCUAAGAAUAGACGUCCAAAGCCACACAAAGGAAGGUGUUAUAGAAAAACAGAGGCUGGGCACAGUGGCUCAAGCCUCUAAUCCCAGCACUUUGGGAGGCCGAGGUGGGUGGAUCACGAGGUCAGGAGAUCGAGACCAUCCUGGCUAACACGGUGAAACCCCGUUUCUACUAAAAAUACAAAAAAUUAGCCAGGCGCAGUGGUGGGCACCUGUAGUCCCAGCUACUGGGGAGGCUGAGGCAGGAGAAUGGCGUGAACCUGGGAGGCGGAGCUUGCAGUGAGCCGAGAUGGAGCCACCGCACUCUAGCCUGGGCGACAGAGAGAAACUCUGUCUCAACAAAAAAAGAAAAGAAAAACAGAGCAACUGGGUGAUUGUAUUGAAAGGAAGGGUCUUUGGAACCUUGAUUGACAAGUUCUACCAGUUGCAGCGAAGGAGGCUUUCCAUUGAGUUAUGUGCUCAUGACAUUCUUAGUCAUGGACUGACUUAACUUUCUUGAUCUUAAAUAAGUAAAUCCUUUCUUUCUUUUCUCCCUGUUGUGUUUUCUUCCCCACUCAUUUGCCCUUCCUCUCUCUUUCUUAUAGGUUUGAUGGGAUGGAAAUUUUAUAUUACCAGAGUACAAAAGUGGGCUUAUAUCUUUUCACAAAUAGAAGGCCUAUCUCAAUGGUAAAGCUACUGGUUGGAGGUAGUGAUACAUGGCGUACUCUAUUCUGUUAAGGUCUAGAAGUCUUCAUAGGAAGGAUAAGUCCACAUGAGGUUAAUCGCAUACUUCAGAUUCAAUAUUGAGCUUGGUUCCAUGCAGUAGAAGAAGGCUGAUGUAGUGAAAAGAGAACAGGGUUUAGGGUCAAGCCAGCCUGAGUUCACAAAUCAUCUCUGUCAUUCUUUAAUUGUGUGACUGAAAUCACAUAAUUAGCCAGUACAAGAUAAGCCUUAGUUUCUUCAUUUGCCAACUGAGAUACUAAUACAGACCUUGUGAGGAUUAAGAGCAGGCAUGGGAUGCAGGUGAGCACUUACUCAUUCUACAGACAUUUAUUGAGUACUGCUCUGUUCCAGGCAUAUUUCAGGACAGGACGUUAAAAUCAAAUAUGGGCUGGACACAGUGGCUCAAGCCUGUAAUCCCAGCACUUUGGGAGGCUGAGGCAGGAGGAUCACUUGAGGCCAGGAAUUUGAGACCAGCAUGGGCAGCAUGGUAAAACCUCGUCUCUAUUAAAAAAUACAAAAAUUAGCCAUGUGUUUUGGCUCAUGCUUGUAAUCCCAUCUACUCAGGAGGCUGAGAUAUGAGAACUGCUUGAACCCAGGAGGUGGAGUUUGCAGUGAGCUGAGAUUGCUCCACUGUACUCCAGCCUGGGUGACAGAAUGGGACUCUGUCUAAAAAAAAGAAAAAAAAAAAUACAGCACAGUGCCUGACUCUGAAGAGUUUACAGUCCAUUGGGGAAAGCAGAUGUGUACAUCAAUGAUUCCAGAAAAGAAACCCAGAGGAGGAGGCGAGAGAUAGUGAUGAUGAUGAUGGCAUAGUGAUGGAGAAGGUUUUCUACUGAUGGCAUCUGAGAUGUGUUUCAAAGGACGAGUAGGACAAGGAGAAGUGAGGGGAAGUGCAGUUAAGGCUGAAGAAAAAACAUCCACAAAAGCUACUAGGGUUUACCAGAGCAUGAGCAAUUAUCACUGGGGCUGUGUGGCUGAAUUGAAUGAAGUGAUGGAGGCAGUGAUAGGUGGUGGUGAAAUAAAAAAAAUUGUCAGGGCUGGGCACGGUGGCUUAUGCCUGUAAUGCCAGCAUUUUGGGAGGCUGAGGUGGGUGGAUCAUGAGGUCAAAAGAUUGAGACCAUCCUGGCCAACAUGGUGAAACCCCGUCUCUACUAAAAAUACAAAAAUUAGCUGGGUGUGGUGGCGUGCGCCUGUAGUCCCAGCUACUUGGGAGGCUGAGGCAGGAGAAUCACUUGAAACCGGGAGGUGGAGGUUGCAGUGAGCCAAGAUUGCACCACUGCACUCCAGCCUGGCAACAGAGCGAGACUCAGUUUAAAAAAAAAGAAAAAAAAAAAAAAGUCAGGAAUGCCACAGUAAAGGACCUUGUGUGCUAAGAAGUGAAGUUUGAAUUUACCAAGUAAUAUGGUCACAUAGCCUGUAAAAGAUAGGUAGCUAAGGGUGGAACUCAAGUUAUCUAAAUCCAAGGUCAGAAUGUAUUCUCCCAUGUAGCUCUCUACUUCCUUUAAUGUGGUACGUUAGCACAGUGAUCCUAAUGUCAGUGCCUGUGGAGGUCACCUAUAAUAGUAUAAUCUGGAGUGAAGAACGUUGGAUGUGUAGCCUAAGUUUCCCCAUGGAGCUGAGAGGCACCCACCUAUAAGUCAGUGGCUUGCCUGGGAAAAAUAGGCUAUAGGUUCUAAAGCAGGGAGAGUCUGAGCUUAGGUACCAAAAGGACCAAUAGAAGGAGUAAAGCUCCUCCAAAAGUGAGUGAGGGUGGAAUAGAGGAUGAUACCCAUGGGUCAGGCAGCAAGUAAACACAAGAACAGAGGAGGAAGUUAGGAAUAAGGAUUGCAAGGAGGGAAAGAGGGUUCAGGAUCCUCUACAUAACCAGGGCUCAGAGGCUGGGAGCCUCUUGUUAUUUAUUAGGUGCUGGUUGCAGAGGGUGUGCGUGGGUUAGUCACCCUAGGUUGGCCCAAAGAGCAAGUCAUACUUGGCUCCUCCAGUGUAACUGAGAUCACCUUGCAGUAUACCAUGUUUGUACCUCAUUGAGGAAGCUUUCUACUUCCUUCCUUCAUAUCUUAGCUUGUGUUUUUCCUUCUUAUGUCCUAAGGCCCUCCAAAGGGAAGGUGUCCGUUGAACAUUUUCAUUAUAAAAUUUUCUUGGGGAUAACCCAGGCUUUAAAAUUAAUUUCAAUUAUCAUUUAUUGAAACUUCCUUGCCUGAGGACAUUAUGCUAACUUGGAAACCUAAAGAACACCACUGUCCCAGAAAUAUCAGGUUAGAUAGAAUUUACAUUUAGAGAUGUUAGAUGGCAGAAGAAAAAAAAAAGGGACCCAAGGAAACCCUGUUCCAGCUGCUUCCUGGGCUCAAGAGCAAAUCUAAUACAUGUAUUCAGGUAGUGUCAUGUUGGUAAACCUGUUUCCGUUUGUUUUGCUGGGGGUUGAUUUCCAGUCAAGUUGUUUGGGUAUUAGAACAUAAUGUGCUGACUCUGGCAGCCCUGGUUUGCUUUGGUAGAGGGAUUAAUGUUGGUAUGUGUCACUGAAUGUAACCAGUUCUUUGUAUUCUGACUCUUCCUGUCCAGACUAAGGAAGCACACUUCUUCAAGAUCACUUUUCAGUGUCAGUUUGUAAUCUUGAUUUUGACCUGGAAAAAAUGAAAGUAUACUGGUUUGGUUCUCGCCAAAUUCUAACUGGUGCCCUAAAUAUGUCAAGCAACCCCUGCACUGUGUUACCAGCAGGCCAGCUGGGUCUGUAGUCAUCCAAGAUUCGCUUUUGAGUUGAUGUCAGUUACUGGCCCCAAAUCGAUGCCUUUUGGGGAAAAUCUAAUGCUCCAGUUUGCAAUGGCAUUGAUGCUUUUUAAGUGGCUUCAGAGCCAAGAAAGACAUGGCUCUUUAUAAAAUCGUUUGCAGAUUCAGCAGUGUAUCUGCUGUGGCAGGACUUCUUUUUUUUUUUUUAAUCUUAAAAAAAUGUAGGAGGCUGUGCCUUUAUAUGGAGCAAAGUUGCAAAAGUCUUUUCCAACUUGUUAGAGACUCAAAACUUCCUUUAGAAUCCUCAGUGGACUUUGAGUUCAGCAAAAAUGUAGUGCCUGCAUUCUACUAAGUCAUCCAGUGAAACCACUGGGAAAUCUCAACUUUCAAACAUCAUGAUGAAAGGAUACAGGCACCUUAUAUCUUGCUCCUGGAAAUGGGACUUAUCAAAGCAAGUUAUGCUAAUGCUGGAACCAAGACUCUUGCUUCAUCUUCUUGCUUCUUUCUCCUCCUGUUGCUUUCCUGCUUUCAUCUCUUCUCUAGGACAGGGAAGUAAGGGUCAAUCACUCACAUCCUUCUGAAGGAAUCCAAAUCUUUUCAGAAGGUUCAUGUUUUCUCUUCCAUCAGUGCACUCAAACUUGAAACUUGUAUUCUUGAAUGACUAAGACUCCUUUUCUUCUGUCCUGUGAAAACAUCCCUGUGAUUUGAAAAUGUUCUGAUAAACUUGAGUCAGAAAAAUCAACAGGUAGAAUGUAAACUUAACGAUCUUCAUUUGUAAACUUAAUGAUCUUUGCAGAAAUCUUUGUUUUGUUAAUUGAAGUAUCCAUGCUCUAGGAACAGUGUCAGGCAUAACAGCAGUGCUCAAAAUAUUUGUCAGAUGAAUAAAUAAAGGAGUAAGUGUGUUGAUCAUUAAUUAAGUAGGUCCAGAGAGUACAAGGAGCUACUGGAAAAGUAGACUUUUCCACUGUUUUUUCCUCAUGGGCUGAAGAUGUUUGAAGCAUGGAGUGGGGGUAGAAGAAUGGGUUUGGGAAAAAGUUUGAGAAAAAGUGUAACUUUUAGAGAAUAAUGUCAAAGGAGAACAAGAGGCUUAAAAAUAAAUACUAUAGAAUUGAAAGCAAGUAUUUGAAUGGUUAUUUGUACACCAAUGUUCAUAGCAGCAUUAUUCACGAUAGCCAAAAAAUAAAAAUAACCCAAAUGUCCAUCAACAGAUGCAUGGAUAAAAAAACUGUAUUACAUACAUACAAUGGAAUAUUAUUUAGCCUUUGAAAGGAAUGACAUUCUGAUGCAUGUUACAAGGAUGAAUCUUGAAAACAUUAUACUUAACAAGCCACAUGCAAAUUAAGCCAAACACAAAAGCAGGGCACAAAAGGAUAAAUAUUAUACAAUUCCACUUAUAUUAGGUAAGUAGACUAGACAAAUUCAAUGAGUCAGAAAGUAAAAUAGAAUUUAGCAGAAGCUGGGGAAGUGGGGAAUAGGGAGUUGUUAUUGUUUAAUGUACAGAGUUUCUGUUUGGGAUGAUAAAUAAGUUCUGGAAAUAGUAAUGACAAUUGCAAAUAUUGUGAAUGUACUUAGUGCUGCUGAAUUGUAUACACUGAAAUGGUUAAAAUGGUCAAUUUUAUGUUAAGCAUAUUUUCCUACAAUUUUAAAAAGCAAACACACAACAAACCUGACAUUUUAAUAUGCCCAGGAAGCACGGGAAACUUGUUUGUUUGGGUUUCUUUUUCUCUGUCAUGGCACAGGAGACUUUGGCAUCUGUCAGACUUGGCUCAAAUCCAAGCCCCACCGUUUGUUAAUGGUGUGGCUUUGGUCAGGCAAGUUCACUCCUCAGAAUUCCAGCUUUCUUGUUGGUAAAAUGGAGAUAAUAGAAAUGCCUAAUUAUUGUGAUGUGAGAAUAUACGUUAUCGUGGAGGUAGUAUGCUUAAGUACAGUGACCUGAAACAUGGCAGGCAAGCAAUAAAUGAUCAAUUCAUGAUCUCUCCCACUCUUUUCCCUAUGCCUAUGUCUUCCCUGCAUCCUCUUCCAUCUCUUCAAUUAUUUUUUCUUCCAUUUUGCAAAAUUUGGUUCUCUGAUCCAGGUUGUAUUAGUCUGUUCUCAUGGUACUAAUAAAGACAUACUGGAGCCUGAGUAAUUUAUAAAGAAAAGAGGUUUAAUGGACUCACAAUUCCACAUGGCUGGGAAGGCCUCAGAAUCAUGGUGGAAGAUGAAUGAGGAGUAAAGUUACAUCUCACAUGCUGGCAGGCAAAGAGAGAGUGUGCAGGGGAACUCCCCUUUAUAAAACCAUCAGAUGUCGUGAGAUUUAUUCACUAUCAGAAGAACAACACAGGAAAGACCUGCCCCUAUGAUUCAAUUACCUCCCACCAGGUCCCUCCCACAACAUGUGGGAAUUAUGGGAGCUACAAUUCAAGAUGAGUCUUGGGUGGGGACACAGCAAAGCCAUACCACAGGCCUAGAUAUCUGACAGAUGGUAUUCCCUGGCUGGACUCAGGCAAGAGUUCUGGCAGAGAAAGCAGUUUCUGAUCCAGGUGAAUGUUUUAAAAACUUUCUGUGUAGUUAUUUAAACUAGAGUGCAUAUUCCUUUCUAUGUGCCUCUGGCAUUGCUGGCACAGCCUACACGUUCCUCAAUGCAUCGUGGAAUUCAGAGGUCACCCUGUUUCUUGGAAUAUCAUUUUAUCUUCCUUACACCAAAGCAUAAAGGAACUUCCUCAACCCUAUGUGUUCAUGCCAUCAAAGCCCUUGCUUCAUGCUCUUUUUGAAGUUAUUUAAGAAACAAAAUGUAGGCACUGUUUUAAAAAUUAAAAAGUUCUACAAUGAUUAUAAUGAAAACCUGUGGUCCCUUCUCUCACCUCUUUCCCACCCUUGAUCCCAGCUACCCAGAGACAAGUACUGUUAACUUUUACUACCCUUAAUGCUAGUAUUUCACUUCAUUUUCUAAAUGAUAAAAUUUUACUACUAAAUCUUAUUUUUUAUUGAGUUAGAGAUUAUCAAUUGACUUGUUACUAUCAAACGUGAGAAUUUUACUCACUUAAAACUCCUCACAGCUCUGCCUCCAUGUUCUUCUUCUCUAUCCUUCUAUUACACAAUGUUUGAUUAUAGUAAUCGAGUUGUAGAUUACUAUUAUUAAUAGUUGUAUUUAUAUUUUUAUAACAAUGUAAAUCUUAUUCUUGUUUUUCAUAACAAUGUAAAUACGAAUCGUGUGUAUUUUAAUUUUUCUUGUACAAUUACUUUUUAUUUUCUUGAAAAUAAUCACCUAACUUGGUUUGGUAAAUCUUUCUGAGAGGAUGCAUGGCUGAAAAUGUGUUUAUUUCACCCCUCUCUCAUUUGAUUAAUAGUUUGAUUGGAUAUAGAAUUCUAGGUUAAACUAAUCUUUCUUCAGCAUAUUAAAGCCAUUCCAUUUUCUUCUGGUGUCUGGUGUUGUUGAGAAGUCUAGUGACAUAUGGUUGUCUGAUCUAUUUGUGGCCUGUUUUUUAUUUCUGGAAAUAUUUAUGAUCUCCACUUUGUUCUCAGUUGUCUGAAAUGUUGUGGUGAUGUAUCUUGGGGUAUAUGUGUUUUAUUGUGCUGGACAGUCAGGUGGCGGGAGAGGUCCUUUCAGUCUGAAAACUCAUUUUUUUUCUCUUCCAGUAAAUUCUCAUGUUAUUACUUCAAUGAUAUUCUUUAUCUCAUUUUCUCCAAACUCUUCCUGGAACUUUGUCUUCGAGUAUUGGGCCUCCUAGACUGAUCCUCUAGUUAUCACGUAUUUUGUCUCUUAUUUUCUCUUUCUUUGACUUCUGUUCUACUUUUUGGAAUUUUUUUUAUCCAUUUUAUUUUAGAAUUAUUUUGCUGACUGGUUUAUUUUUGGUUAUACUAUUUUUAACUUUCAAAAAUUUUCCUUAUUUUUGGAAUAUUACUUUUUUAUAAAAUCCGAUUCUUAUAUACGCAGUAUUUUAUGUUUCAAAGCUAUGAAUUAUAGAGAUUUUUUUAAACAUUUUCUUCUGUUUUCUUCAUUGACAUGAAUUCUUCUGAAGCUAUUUUUUCUUGUUCAAUUUAGUCUGUCUUGCAUGUUGGAAGGCUUUUUAAAAAUUUGGGUGAUCUUUUGGCUGUUUGUACUUAAGAGUGAGGAACUAAAAUGUUGAUUAAAACCAUGUGCACGAGUAGGGCUUGCUGACUGGUGAUUUUCUCUAUACAUGGUUUUGUUCAGUACCUUGCCAUUUUUAGAGGGAAUUCUGACCGUCGGCACCUACAGAUCCUUUUCCUUGGUCAUAUCAAAACCCUUAGUUCCCUGUCGUGUGUGUGCAUAGAAGCACGUAUAAAUCUGGCUGAAAUAUUCUGGGAGUUAAGAAGACUGGGGCUCUGAAAAUAGACAAUGUUUACUCCCAGCGUGCUCCACCCUGUUUUCAUCCAAAGUUCUGGUUUAUUUCUUGCAGAGUGUAAACUUGGUUAUUAAGAUAAGAGAGAGAGUAAUCUGGGUUAUGAGGAAAAUCUAAUGAGUUUUCUAUUUGCUGUGUGGGUGGAGGAGGUGGGAAUAUGCUUUAAAAACCCAACUUUAGAAAAAUCUGAGGCAAAAUCAAAUGCUUAUAAAUAGGGACAAGGUUAAGUAGAUGGUGGGAGGGCUAUAUCAUGACAUAUUAUGUAACCUAUACAAUAAUAAUUUAGCCAAACAUACAUUAUGUAGAAAAAUGGUCACAAUGUAUGGCUAAGUGAAAAAAUGCAGGCUAUAAAAUAUGCAUAAUAUAAUAGUAUUUUAUUAAAACAAAAAAUAUUCUCACUGUAUAAUUCCUAUUGCUAUAGAUAUUUCAGUUGUACGACAAAGGAUGUGUUAAUAAGACAGGCCAGGAAAUAGAACUCUGAAAAUAAGACCAAACAGUUAUAAGAAAAGUUUGUCCCAUUUGAUGCAGCUAUAAGGAAAUUAUUUUCCCAAUAAUUUUGACUUUUUAUUUUCUACAUCAUUUAAUCUAUGUGGCUCACAGAAGCUUUUGCCAUAAUUAUUUGGCCAAAUUAGAUGUGAAGUAUAAGCCCUAUGACCCUGAGGUAUAAACCCUAUGACACCAAGCCCUAUUGAGUAACCUGCAACAACUGCCUCUGGCAUGAACUGAGGAAAUUCAAGAGCCCUGGGGCCAGUGGGGACAUGUAACAUGAAGAAUGGAAGCGAGCAAGUUGCAAAUAUCUUUGGGAAAAAAACCAUUUUUUUUUUUCUUUUUGAGACAGAGUCUUGCUCUGUUACCCAGGCUGGAGUGCAGUGGUGUGAUCUCAGCUCACUGCAACCUCUGCCUCCCGGGUUCAAGCGAUUCUCCUGCCUCAGCCUCCCAAGUAGCUGGGACUACAGGUGCCCACCACCACACCCAGCUAAUUUUUUGUAUUUUUAGUAGAGACGGGAUUUCACUGGUUUGCCAGGAUGGUCUCGAUCUCCCGACCUUGUGAUCUACUGGCCUCAGCCUCCCAAAGUGCUGGGAUUACAGACAUGAGCCACCAUGCCCAGCCAAACCCAGCGUUUUUGUUUUAUUGAGGCUCUCAGAAGAAAUGCUUCUGGUGUAUUUUAUCAUUAAGUAUGAAAGUGGCUAUUGAUUUAAAAGUGCUGUAUAUUUUUAUCAUUUUAAAGAAGUGUCUUUGUAAUCCUGGUUUUCAGAGAGCUUUUAUUUAAAAUUGCUUAUUCCAUUUUACAGAAUGCCUUUUGGACGUUUUAUAUUAUAAGGUUUGUCUUAUUUGAUCCAUUGAUGUGCCAUAUUAGAUUUCUUAAUAUUAAAUUUUUCUAGCAUAGCACAAUAAUUAUGACUUGGUUAUGGUGGAUUAUGCCCUUUAUGGUAUCUUUGAAUUUAAUUUGCUAGCAUUUUAUUUGGAAUAUUUUCAUUUGCAUUUAUAAGUGACAACGAUUGAUAGGUGCCCUCACAUGCGUGUGUGUGAGUGUGCGCAUGCGCUUUCACACAAGCUAUUAUUGUCAGGCACGGACCAGGAUUUUUCUUUUUUUUUUUUCUUUCCAACUUUUAUUUUACGUUCAAGGGGUACCUGUGCAGGUUUGUUACACGGGGAAAUUGUGUGUUGCAGGGAUUUGGUAUACAGAUAAUUUUGACACUCAGGUAAGCAGAAUAAUAUCCGAUAGGUUGUUUUUCAGUCCUCACCCUUCUCCCAUCCUUCACCCUCAGUUAGGCCCCGACGUCUAUUGUUCCCUUCUUUGUGUUCAUGUGUACUCAAUGUUUAACUCCCACAUAUAAGUGAGAAUAUGCGGCAUUUGGUUUUCUGUUCCUGCGUUAAUUUGCUUAGGAUUGUGGCCUCCGGCUCCAUCCACGUUGCUGCAAAGACUAUGAUCUCAAUUUUUUUUAUAGUUGCGUAGUAUUCUUUAGUGUAUACAUACUGCAUUUUCUUUAUCCAGUCCACUUUUGGUGGCCACCUGGGUUGAUUCCACGUCUUUGCUAUUGUGAAUAGUGCUGCAGUGAACAUAGGUGUGCAUGUGUCUUCAGGGUAGAACGACUUAUAUUUCUGUGGGUAAAUGGAAUUGCUGGGUCAAACGGUAAUUCUAUUUUAAAUUCUUUGAGAAGUCUCCAAACAGAACAGGACUUUUCUGAGUAGAGUGUUAAAUAUGUGGACAAAAACUGAUGGAACUGCAAGAAUCAAUAGACAAUGCAUAUUUAUAGUUAGAGAUUUCAAUACCUUUCUCAAUAACUGAAAAAACAGAAAAUCUGUGAGAAUAUAUACAAUUUGAACAGCACUAUCAACUAAUUUGACCUAAUUGACAUUUGCAGAACACUCCACCCAACAACAGCAGAGUUCAUAUUCUCUUACAAUUCAUAUGUAGCAUUUAUCAAAAUAGGCUACAUUCUUAAGUUCAGGUCUUCAGGUCUUUUGUCAGCUUUAUACCUAAAGUUUUUAUAUUUUUGAUGAUGUCAAAUGUAUUGUUAAGUUUCAUGUUCUGAUUGUUGUUAGUUUAUAGAAAGACAAUUGAUAUUUGUGCACUGCAUUUAUAUCCUGCAACUGCUAAACACAUAUUAAGUUUAGGACCUUUUUUUAUAGAUUUUGUAACAUUAUCGGGACAGUUGAUAAUGUCAUUUGUGAAUAAAGAAAGUUUACUUCUUCCUUUCAAUCUGGAUGCAUUUUAUUUCUUUUUUCUUGUAUUAUUGAAUUGACUAGAAUCCCUAAUACAAUAGUGAAUUGAAGUGGUGAAAGAAAAGACCUUUGCCUUAUUCCUGAUCUUAGGGUGAGAGCAGUCAGUCAGUCUUCUGCUAUUAAGUGUGAUGUUAGCUAUAAACAUUUUGUAAACGCUUUUUGUGAGGUUGAGGAGGUACCCUUCGAUUUCUAGUUUGCUGAGAUUUUUUUAUUAGGAAUAGAUGCUGUAUUUUGUCAAAUGCUAUUUCUGUACCUACUGAGAUGAUCACUUGGUUUCUUUUGUAAUCUAUUAAUAUCACAAAUUACAUUAAUUGGGUUUCAGUUGUUACACUAGCCCUGCAUCCUUAAGAUAAACCCCAUAUGGUCAUGUUGUAUUAUCCAUUUUCUGUGUUGCUGGAUUUCAUUUGCUAAUAUAAUAUUUUGUUAAGAAUUUUUUCGUCUGUGCUCAUGAGGAAUAUUGAUCUAUUUUCUUGUAAUGUCUUCAUCUGGUUUUGGUAUCAGCAUAACGUUGAUCUCUUAAAAUGAGUUGGGAAAGAUUCUAUUCUCUUCAAUUUUCUGGAGAGAUUAGGUCAUAGUGGUAUUAUUUCUUUCUUAAAUAUUUGGUCGAAUUUACCAGCAAAGCCAUUUGGAAGGCCUUGAAUGCCAGGCUCAAGAGCUUCGACUUUGCUCAGAAACCUGAGAUAGUUUCUAUGGUAAAAAGAUGAUGUUUGCAAAGUGGGUUUUGGAGAGAUGAACCUGGCAGCCAUGGGCAGGAAAUAUGUUGGCAGCGAGGGCAAUAUAAACACCCAGGAAAACAUUAUAUUCUAAUUUCCAAAGUUCCUGCAGAAAAAGCUUUUGUUUAAUCUUUCACAGGCUGGAAGGAAUUUCCUACAUAGAAGGGAAAGUGACCCCAUUUGAUGAAAACUGUGAAUAGUCUGAAAGAUUUUUCUAUAUGGGGAGGCAAUGAGUGGGCUGCAACCAUUGUCACUGAAAAAUUAAUUCUGCUCCCUCAGGUUUCUAAUUCAGCUAAAUAAAUCCAACCUGGCUUGACACUUACUUUAUGAAGUGCCAAGACCAGAGUUAGACUGCAGCAUUUUUAAGUGACUAGAAUUUUUUAAAGACGAUUUUAGAUUUUCUUUUCUUUCUAGGUUUAAAGAGUCAUGAAAGAAAACUGGGGCCAGGCGUGGUGGCUCACGACUGUAAUCCCAGCACUUUGGGAGGCUGAGGCAGGUGGAUCACUAGGCCAGGAGUUCAAGACCAGCCUGACCAGUAUGGUGAAACCCCAUCUCUAAUAAAAAUACAAAAAAAUUAGCCAGAUGUGGUGGCAUGCACCUGUAGUCCCAGCUACUCAGGAGGCUGAGGCAGGAGAAUUGCUUGAACCCAGGAGACGGAGGUUGCAGUGAGCUGAGAUCGUGCCACUGACUCCAGCCUGGGCGACAGAGCAAGACUCCAUCUCAAAAAAAAACCAAAACAAAUCUGAAGGACCUAUUCAUAAUACAACUCUGUAAUAUUGCCACCUUCCUUCGAUACCAGAGAUUUGUCCUUUUGAAUAAACAUGGUCUCCUGUUCUGGGCAUGAUAUCCAACAUAUUUCAUUCCACACUGUUUAUUAUUUUUAUUAAACAAUAUUGAAAUUCGAUUUAUCAGAUUGCAAUGGCCAAUCUCAAUGAGUUUCACUUUAUUGCAUUGGCUCUCAGGGUAGGAUAGGCCAGGCCAGUGCCAACUUAAAAGUUUAGUAAGUUAAACUAAAAAUAAUAAUAUGAAACCAUCAUAUUUUAUAAGCCCUUUUCAGCUUAUGAAAAUAUUUCCCCAAAUAUAAGUUUUAUGAAAGCAUCUUUCAGCAUUUCCUUCUGAACUGCAACCCAAACAAUGCCUAAGCACAUUUCUAAUAUAAUAAAGUGUUGUUGGGAAAAAACACUGUUAGGGAAUGGCUUUCACUUGGCAUUAGUUUGAAUGACUUGGCAUUGUCACCAGGGGUGGUGGUAUUUUAAACACAGAACAUUCUGCACAGUGAUUUUCAUUGUAAAGUCUGUGAUGUCAAACCUCAAUAAAAUUUCUUUCUGGAAAUUGAACCUGCAAAAUGCACCCAUGGCAAAUGUCUUUUAUUCAAGUGCCUUAAAAACAAAACAAAACAAAAAAGCUCACAUUUGGAUCGUAUACAUCUGUCAUCCCGUCUGGUCCCCAUAACAACUGUGUGAAGCAACUAAGUCAAAUUUUAUCAUUCACUCAUUGUACGGAUGCAGAAAUGGAGGCAUGGAGAUGGAAGAUAAUUGACCACGACUAUAAUAAGUAAGUGGCAAAACUAAGAUCAGAACUCAAAUCUCUUAACUCUGGCUUUCAUGCUUCUACAUAUGGCAUACUGCCUCUCCAGAGGGACAAUACGGAGAUGGUGAUGAAGUGAUUCCUAGUUUGCAAGAUUCAAAAUAUACACACUUGGUAUAUUCAUAGCGUAAGCCAAUAUUACACUCCUGGAGUUGAAUAUUUUGUCGAUAAGUUUCCAAAUGUUACAAUUCCAUAAAGAAAUGUCUAUGUUUUACUUUUAAAUAAGAUAUUUUUUCCACCCAUUAAUACUCUGUUUUGAUGGUAUCUCAGAGAACUUACGUGUGGGAUUUUAGAAAAAAAAAGAGAACAGGCAUAGAUAAUGUGAAUUUAUUUAAAUGUAUAUAAAACAGAGGUUUCUAACUUCUGAUAUAGACCUUUUUAGAAUCCCCAUAUACAUAGACACCAGGAGAUACAGGAAUUCCUGAAAUUAAAUGUAAAAUUUUAUGAGUUUAAAUGUUUUCUGGGAGGAUCUUUUGGUUUCAUUGGGCUUUUAAAGUGGGGUUUGUUUCUUGAAAAACAAUUACUCUGAUAGACACAAAAAAUAAUUCCUCCUGUCCUCCACCAAAGCAGCCCACAAAGAUAUCUCUAUCUCCUGAGCUUUCAGAGAGUGUGCUAUCUGUCUGGCAUGUUUAUUUGGGACCCACUGAGCUUUGCUUUGCCAUUAAACUGUUAUACAUAAGAGGGACUUCAUCUCAAUAAUCUGUUUCAGAGUACACAGAACCCUUUUGUGCCUGUAGUAGAUGCUUAAUAAAUCAUAGGCUUAAAUGUUGACUUUAAACUCUCUGAUAACUAGGGUAAGAACCCAUGAGGACUGUGGGAUCAAGCAAUGCUUAAUUAAGGUACUUAGUUGGCACAUCAAUUCUAAACACACAAAAACUAAGUAACAGGUGUGAUUAUCAAGCUAUAGGAUAACUUUAAAAAUAACCCCACCAGUGUAUAGUAACCUAGAUGACUGUUACCAUUUCAAUGUAAUUCCUUUCCCUGGUUAUGUGUUUUUUCGAAGAUGUUGCUUGUAUUAGUCCAUUUUCACACUGCUGAUGAAGGCAUACCCGAGACUGGGAAGAAAAGGAGGUUUAAUGGACUUACAGUUCCACGUGGCUGGGGAGGCCUCACAAUCAUAUCAGAAGAAUUAUAUGCUGGAUAUACAAGAGACUCAUGACCCAAACUGGGACAACAGGAAUGGCUUCCUGGAAGAAGAGACAUCUGAGCCCAGACCUGGAAGAAUAAGAGCCGGGUCUCCUUUCUGAAAAGUCUCACUUCAAGCCAUGGUGUAUAAAGACACAAAGCUGACUUACUGCUGGGUACGUGUGUCCAACAGAAGCACUGUGUCUACCAAUGUCUAUGGAGAGGUCCUCUUCAGUGGUUUUCAAGUACACAGGAUUGUCAAAGUUCAUGCUUUUCAUGUUCUUGUGUUGCCAAUUCCGCCACAUCAAGUAGCCACCUACUGCUGCCAUCACUAAGAGCACUGAAAAAAAUCAGAGGGUAGCUAAGUGAGCUAAGUCUAGUAUUGGAACAUACAAGAAAGGUAAUAACGUUCAGGAAUCCAUAAUAAUUGACAUUAGUAAAAAUGCCAUGUUUUAUGGAGCUAGGAUAACUAGAAGUUGGAAUACACAUGGGCCAGGAGCUUGAAACAAGUUCAGCCCAGAGGUAGCUCUGUGCACUGGAGCUGGACUAGCCACAUCCAUCCAGGCAAGGGCAGGGUCCUCGGUCCCACCUUAGGCUCACCAAAUUAAAAUUGCAGAAGGUUCUGGAGAGCUAUUCAGGUGGUCCUGGCGUGUUAGCUAAGCUUGGGUCUCUUCAUUUAGGACAAAGGUUUUUAUAGCAAAGUCCUUAGAAUUUGCGUGUCUCGUUUAGAGGUCCUUUUCCAUAGGUUUGAAAAUUCUUAACUGCUUUUAAUUUAUCCUCAACAAGUCCUGUAACUCUUAGCAUUUAAGCAUUUGUGCAUCUCCUCUGUAUGAAGCAUUACACACAUUUCAAAGGGGGAACAGAACAGUACACUAGUUAAAGAGACUUAUUAUAAAAGGGGAUAAGCCAGGUUAACAGUGCGGAAGUAGAAAGCAUUAACCGUUGAACACUUAUCAUUGCCAGUUACUGUGCCAAAGGUACAACUGAAGAGAAAGAUAUGGGCCUUAAUUUAGUGUAUUAUGUGGGGGAGAAAGCGAACGUAAUUCAGUGUCAUAAAUGCUAGACAGCAUAAAGGCCCAUGAAAGGGGUAGCUCCAGAUGAACAAAAAAUCUUCAUCUGGUAUCUAAGAAGUUCUUGAACCCAGACUUGUAGGAAAUCUACUUACAGAGAGGAAGAAUGGCCCAUGCGGCAGAAGUCCCUUUUGGGGGAACACUGACCUCUGAUACUGCUGUGGUCACAUUGAUCCCUACAGAGGAAUAAAAGGAAUCAGUUUAGAAGGAUCUGUAUUCAGACUUAGAAAUUUACCCAUCAGGUAAGGAGCCAAAACCUUUGCAUCCAAUAUUGAUGUUCAGUAUCUACAACAAUUGAACACCAGGAACAACUCUGGCUUAGAAGUAUUUGAGUCACAUGCUGUAGUAGCCAUUUCACUGACAGUUCUCUACUAGAAACCUUUAAGAUCAGUCAGGAAAAGAUAUGCAAGUUUUAAGUCUUUGGUGUUUAAAUAUAGGUUACCAAUUGGGGCAGAAAUAGUAGUUAAAGGCUGCAUUAAUUAUUUAAGCUGUAGAUACAAAGAGUGUGGCUGUUAGUUGAGAUUAACAGUUUGCAGUACUGAACUCAAUACCUCCAGGAACUAGUCCACUAGUUGCUGAAAUUUCUGUUGUGUUCGUAUCUUUUGUCUCACUGUAAGUCACAGUAGUUGCAGUACCUGAAUUAUAAAAACCAAGAACCUGGUUAAUGCCAGGGUUCCAGCAUGGCUAGCUGUUUUGUCCAGACAAGCCAUGUAAAAGGUUAUUUUAAAACCAGGUAAAAUAGACAAACCACUGCUGAACUAAGUUGUACAGCUGAUGUGUCAACAUUGAAAUAGCAAUCUUCAUGCAAAAAAGAGAUACAUGAAACUUUGGGAAGGACAGUCGGUGUUUGGAAUUUGACAAUUCAAAAUGAUGGACAACCACAUUUUAUCCCUCUAAACAACAUCCCAUGUUCCUGGAAACUACGAGAAAUGUUCUCAAGAUGCUCUGGUAUACCAGGCAUACCAGACUGUCUUGCAACUAAUUUCUUGGUAAACUGAGCUAAUCCCUGCCUGACCAUGAAUUACGCUAAUAAAAACCUCAUCAGCCUCACCAUACAAGCUCCUUGAUCACACAAAUGACUUUAAUUUGCCACUUAAUCAAAAGUUAAGAACAGAAGACUAAAUGCAAAUUCAGCCUAAGUGUUAUUUUAGGGUAGCGUCACCCACUGAGGCAAUGAGGUUUCUGUAACCAUGGCCUUCCUUAAGCAUAAUUUCUGUCCUCCUCCUUUUGAGGAAAAAUGUUAAGGCCUCAUUUAAUUACCUGCAAGUUGGCUAGCUCAGUGCUGUUAAGGGACUAGGUACAAAUUAGUGUAAGGUAUGUUGACACUUUAGUCUCCUAUAAACUCAUUUAAUGUUGAAAUGGGUUAAAGUCAGUUCUAAAGAAAUGACAUGAUAACCCGGCAUACAAUAGCAGAUAUCUUCUCAAAUCUAUUCAAAGAAUUAGCUAAGACAGAAUUCUUAAAAAUCCAAGCUUGUGUCUUAUUAUAUUGCUUGUUGUAGGUUCUACUUGUGGUUGAAACACAAAAUGCCUUACUUUGACAGUCUCGGCCAUUUUCCUCUACAUUGUACCCACUGGGACAGGAACAGGUAUAUUUUGGAGAGUGAUCAUUAAUCUGUGGUGCUGGCAGGCAUAGGUAUUCACAUCCUCCAUUCUCCAUGUCUUCUUCACACCAAUUUUUACCUAGUCAGGAAAAAAAAUACCAUUAAAAUGGGUAUUCCGGUGCCUAGUAUAUAUAAAGCCUUGUUCUACAUGUUGAAGACCUGAGUCCUUGCCCCCAAGAGCUUAAACUUGUCUACUCUGCUAAUCCUUCAAGUGAGAACAGUAUCAAGGAAGAAUAAGUAUACAGGUACAGGCAGCAUGCUCUAAGGACACCAGAUAAGGGACCUCUUCGAGAUAGACUGUAAAAGUUAUGCCUUUAAGAGACAGAUGCCAAAAGAGGAGGUGGGGAAGGGAGGUGAGGGACCAGGACUGGCUCUCACUAUUUGCCCGAGGUUUAGCGUGAAGGCUCAGAGAAAGGAGACUAGGCAUGUUCUCCUGGUUUUCUCUUGACUUGCUCCAACAAAGUGGAAGGAAACUCAGCCUUAGGAAGGUUUGAAGGCUUUAUUUAGAUAGAACCAGCCAAGUGUUUUCAGCAGGAGAUAAUAUAACCCGAUGUGUUUGAGAAUCUACACAAUCCUAUAUCAGGUGUGUCACAGGGGGAAAGUAGGUGUUAUGAGUUGAAUGGUGUUCCUCCCUAAAAUUCAUAUAAUGAAGUCCUAGUACCUCAGAAUGUGAUCUUAUUUGGAGAUAUUGAGGAUAGGAUAUUUACAGAGGUAAUCAAGUUAAAAUGAGGUCAUUAAGGUGGGCUCUAAUCCAAUAUGACUGUUAUUACAGCUCACGCCUGUAAUUCCGGCACUUUAGGAGGCCGAGGCAGGCAGAUUACUUUGGGUCAGGAGUUCGAGACCAGUCUGGCCAACAUGGUGAAACCCCAUCUCUACUAAAGAUACAAAGUUUAGCUGGACGUGGUGGCUCACUCCUGUAGUCCCAGCUACUCGGGAGGCUGAGGCAGGAGAAUUGCUUGAACACAGGAGGCGGAGGUUGCAGUGAGCCGAGAUUGUGCCACUGCACUCCAGCCUGGGUGACAGAGCAAGAGUCAGUCUCCAAAAAACAGAAAAAGAAAGAAAGCAAGAAAGCUGGACACGAGCAUAUACAGAGGGACGAUGAUGUGAAGAGACAAAGGGGGAAGAGCACCAUCAACAGACCAAGAAGAGGCCUGGAACAGACCCUUCCCUCACAGCCCUCAAGAGGCACCAACCCUCCUGGCACCUUGAUUUCAAACUUCUGGCCUCCAGAGUUUUGAGACAAUAAAUUUCUGUUGUUUAAGAUA